CGUCCCUGUCCUUUGUACACACCGCCCGUCGCUACUACCGAUUGAAUCAUUUGGUGAGGUCCACGGACUGUUGUGCUUCCUUCCUCGUGUUGGUCGCACUUCUUGGGAAGUGGAACGAACCUGAUGAUUUAGAGGAAGUAAAAGUCGUAACAAGGUUUCCGUAGGUGAACCUGCGGAAGGAUCAUUAACACGUAUCCACACGUUUUUCUAUCUAUUUUGUGAACCGGUACUUGUGAACCCUGUUUAUGUGCAUCAAUUGCUCCUUUACACAAAAGGUGUUUUCCAAAUUUACGAAAAUCUGAUGAAUGAUAGAUACGCGCAUGGCUCUUCGGAGCGUGUUUGUGUGUUUAUCUAUUCUUCACCACAACCUUAUCAUGACCCUUAGCGAAGGAUGUCUUGGUUCCGGCAACGAUGAAGAACGCAGCGAAAUGCGAUACGUAAUGCGAAUUGCAGAAUUCAGUGAAUCAUCAAAUCUUUGAACGCAAAUUGCGCUCCGUAGGUGUCCCCUUGGAGCAUGCCUCCUUCAGUGUCGUGUCUACCAAUCUCAGCGACGUGCUUUUCUCUGUGUAUGCAGAAUUUGCAUGAAGCUGGAGAGUGAGCGUCACUGCCUCUUUCUCGUAUAUGUAAGCGGCAGUGUCUCUUGAAGACGACACACGCCCCUCUUUUCUCUGUCUUGUUUCAAAACCAAGAGAGAGAGGAGCUUGAUCGUGUACUGUGCACAUCCAGAAUUUGUGCGGCACGUGUGAUCAGAGCUCAUUAGAAAGAGAGUGCGGUUUGUGGAUAGACAUAUGAAAGUCCUGUUGUUGACGACAGCGGCGAUGUGGGUAGCCAAACCUUGGACGAAACAUCGUACUUGCCAAACGSUGGGAGAGACAGAACUUGUUACAUCUUACACACCGCCCCCRUCMUAACUAAUUCUUUAAAGCAACUCCCGGGGUUGGUGCCCUUCAAGAAGUUUCGGAGAUGUUACCAACAAGGGGGGGGRUGAAAACUGGAACGAUGCACGGCCUUUUGGUUGUGCCAUCCGACUGUUGACCUGAAGUGAGGUAAGAGGACCGGCCGAAUUUAAGCAUAUUAAUAAGCCGAGGAAAAGAAACUAACAAGGAUUCCCCUAGUAACGGCGAGUGAAGCGGGAAGAGCUCAAGUUGAAAAGCCGUGUCACUUGUGGCACGGCGUUGUAAACUGAUGAGCGUGGGUCAGUGGAGGACCUGGGGGCA
rnacentral:rRNA from 1 species